rnacentral:rRNA from 1 species
UACGUAGGUGGCAAGCGUUGUCCGGAUUUAUUGGGUUUAAAGGGAGCGUAGGUGGGCUGGUAAGUCAGUGGUGAAAUCUCCGGGCUUAACUCGGAAACUGCCGUUGAUACUAUCAGUCUUGAAUAUUGUGGAGGUAAGCGGAAUAUGUCAUGUAGCGGUGAAAUGCUUAGAUAUGACAUAGAACACCGAUAGCGAAGGCAGCUUGCUACACAAUUAUUGACACUGAGGCUCGAAAGCGUGGGGAUCAAACAGG